UGUGGGGAUUGUCAUUCUUUUAUGAAGCUUGCAUCAAGCAUUACAAAGAGGGACAUUAUUGUUAGGGAUGUAAACAGAUUUCAUCAUUUUAAGGAUGGAUGUUGUUCUUGUAGGGAGUUCUGGUGAAUGCUAGUAAGUAACUCGGUCAUGGCGGUUGUCAAUCAAACUAAACAUUGUUGAUUGACUGUCCAAGCUCUUUGUAAAAAUUCGGGAUUGAGAACAAAUUUCAGCAAUCACCAUCUCAUUCAUCUGAGAACCUGCUAUACAUUGUGCAACAUGUUAAAAUCAAUUAAGUAGAUACGGAACUUCUUUUGAUGGGCGGACUGGAAUUAAGUGGGAAAUAAAAUUGGGAAAAGACUCUUAGCAAGUGAAAGUGGAGAUGGCAACUAAAAGUUUACAGUUUAUGUACUCCUCUUACUCAGGUGACAGUAACUUAUGCGAGUAUAAGAAGUUUCAAGUAAUGCUGCAUUCUGUGAGUAUUCUUUCAUAAACUAUAGGUUUUGC